rnacentral:lncRNA from 12 species
AGCCCCCAGCCUCCUCAGGUCUUAUGGUGAGGCUUGAGGAAAAUGUGGGGCCACGUCAACCCUGACAGGAACCCCGUCCUCCUCAGGACCAGCACUUUGGCUUCAGGACAUAUGGGGCUGUGUCUAUGCUGACAGGAGCCCACAGCCCCCUCAGGACCUGCGGUGAGUUUUCUGUGGGACGUGGGACCAUGUCCAUGCUGACAGGAGCCCCCAGCUUCCUGAGGACCUGCUGUGAGGCUUCCAGAGGAUGUGAGACAUAGUCCACAGUGAAAGGAGACCUGGCAUCCUCAGGACCCGCUGACUAUGACUCAGGAACACGUUGGGCCAUGUCCACACUCAAAGGAGCCUGGGUCGCUUGGACCCCCUGGAGGACUCUGGAGGAGCCAUUGGGGGCCACGUCUACAUCAGAAGGGACUCCUCAGAACCACAGGGGGCCUGGGAUGGAUGGACCUGUUUGAACCCUGAACUUAAAGAGGAAAGACCUUCAUUUUCUUGGCCUCCUUGCGUCUCCUCCCAUCCUUUCUAGCUCUUUCCCCCUUCCCCGGAGCUCCGGAGAGAGCAAAUGCAAAUGACCUCAGGUUGGCAGGGUCUGUUGGGGGACAGGCCCAGAGAUUUGGGAUCAGGAAAACCUGGGGUGCGGGCAUACCGGCUGUGCAUCGGGAUUUGAUGCUGCAGACUCAUUCCCUAAGGCUAUCUUGACAACUGACUUUAUACAUAGAAAAGCUCUCCUUUAUCUUUAAAAGAUGAAGAUCCAAUCAAAGCCUUUUUUCUCUGCCCAUCUGAUUGCUCAGAUUCCAAUGUGAGACAUAUUUCCUGUGAAUAAGGAUAAUUUACUAUCCAUAGUACUAUGGUUAAAAUAUUCUGACACAACUAAUUCAGAGGGAUAAGGGUUUCUCAUCUCUUUCUUCACAGCUCAGUCACUCUCAGGAAAUGCAUCGUUAUGGAUUUGGAAAGAACUGAGAGACAUUUUUACCAAUGGUCCUAUUAUUAUGUGAAGGAUCCUUCCCUGAGAUUCUUCCCCUGUUUCAACUGACACUGAAACACUUUGAACUCUUUGGAAGACAAAUGUCAAGGAAAUAAAUGUUAUGCAUUGCUAAUUUUAAAUGCA